AGCGAACGCUGGCGGCAGGCUUAACACAUGCAAGUCGAGCGGGCAUCUUCGGAUGUCAGCGGCAGACGGGUGAGUAACACGUGGGAACGUACCCUUCGGUUCGGAACAACUCUGGGAAACUGGAGCUAAUACCGGAUACGCCCUUAUGGGGAAAGGUUUACUGCCGAAGGAUCGGCCCGCGUCUGAUUAGCUAGUUGGUGGGGUAACGGCCUACCAAGGCGACGAUCCGUAGCUGGUCUGAGAGGAUGAUCAGCCACACUGGGACUGAGACACGGCCCAGACUCCUACGGGAGGCAGCAGUGGGGAAUAUUGGACAAUGGGCGCAAGCCUGAUCCAGCCAUGCCGCGUGAGUGAUGAAGGCCUUAGGGUUGUAAAGCUCUUUUGUCCGGGACGAUAAUGACGGUACCGGAAGAAUAAGCCCCGGCUAACUUCGUG
rnacentral:rRNA from 1 species